ACCUCUUACAAGUUAUUUUAAUUGUAUACAAACUCUCUUUAGAGGUACACUUAAAACCCUCCAAUAAAGGGGAAACAUAACAUCUCAAUAGCAAGUUAAAAGUCUUUUUAUGCCAUUAAGUACAUUGGGAAUGAAAUAUUAAAUGUCUAUAAUUGCAGCACCCUCUGCAUUCAGUGUGUGACUCCAAGCAUGAGGAAAGAAACCAGUGUACAGUACUAAUACUGUUUAAAUAACAUAAGAUUAUACAUUGCAGCAUAAAUAACAAUACAUACAUACACUCUUAGUACAUGUUGGUAUAUAUGUUUUCAAACACAAGCACACCCAGUCAGAAGCACACUCCACACAUCCACUCAAACAAACACACAGACACACACCAUUCGUGUCCAUUCACAGUAUCUGAAAGUAGACUGAUAUGUUGUUUGGAGCUACCACUUUUUAUAAAAGCACAUGCUAAAAGAUCAUGUCCACUGUACUCUUGCAGCGUCACUCAGAAUGAUCACACAAAAAACAGGAAAAGUUAGUGCACAAACAAAAUUAAGCUAAAAAAAAGUCUUUGGAGUUCCAAUCAAAUGGUUAGUAUAGCAAUCCCACAGUUGUGAAGACUAACUAUAAGCUUUAUAAUCGAUUAAGUUGCACAGUGCAAAGAAAGGUCCAUUGACUCUUUUUGUAAAGGGAAUGCUGGAAGCUACAUGGGUAAGUUCAAUGGACAGUUCAUACAUGCACAUGACUAGGAACACCCAAAGUAGAUUUGUACUCUUAGAUUAGUCAUUCUGAAUCACGAUGCACUUCUGAAGCAUCAGCUCUACAAAUUGGGCAGGUACGAUUUGCCUUUAGCCAUUUAUCAACACACUUGGCAUGAAACUCGUGGUUACAGGGUAAGACUCUAAGUAGCUGCCUCGACUCAAAGUCACACAUACACACU